GACGAACGCUGGCGGCGUGCUUAACACAUGCAAGUCGAACGGUGAAGGGAUCAGCUUGCUGGUUCUGGAUGAGUGGCGAACGGGUGAGUAACACGUGAGUAACCUGCCCCCUUCUUCUGGAUAACCGCAUGAAAGUGUGGCUAAUACGGGAUAUUCUGCGCCUGCUGCAUGGCGGGUGUGGGAAAGAUAUUGUUUCGGUGGGGGAUGGGCCCGCGGCCUAUCAGCUUGUUGGUGGGGGGGUGGCCUACCAAGGCGGUGACGGGUAGCCGGCCUGCGAGGGGGGACGGUCAGACCUGGAAUGCGGCACGGACUAGACUGGUACGGAGGGCAGGAGUGUGGAAUACUGCACAAUGGGGCCAAGCGGGACGCCGCGACGCGGGUUGUGGAAUUGAGGCGUUCGGGUUGUUAUCCUCUUAGGCCAGUGAAGCUGUGCUGGUAAUUGUGCGUGGGUUGACGGUACCUGGACAAGAAGCGACGGCUAACUACGUG
rnacentral:rRNA from 1 species